rnacentral:misc_RNA from 1 species
UAAUGGUCUCCCACGUAUUCCUUCACACCCUUCUCGCUCGUGCCUCGCCGGGUACCCGCCAGAAGACGUUUUGCAACGUGCUACAAACCUGUUUGUUCACCCUUCUGUUGUCACUGUACGAGGGUUCUCAUCGGCUGUGAUCGGCAUCAUGAUCGAAAACUACGAUACGAUUACCGCAGGAAAGCGACUUACGCCGGAGGAUUUAGACCAACACAUUAAGCGGCUAACAGCGCCACGGCGUGAGGUGGAACUGCGUGACCCGUUCGAGGUGUGUCCGACGAAGCGAAUCUCGCCGGAGGCGCUGUCGAGGAUGACGGACCGUCUCUAUACCCAGAGCCUCCAACACAAACAAGAGCGUCUUGCGGCGGCAGAGCAGGCCGCUUACGGUGCGCACACGCGCGGCACCUUACUCAGAUCCGCACCACUUUCACCACAGGACCAGGAGACAUCCGUGAGGCGAUUGUUCAACGAUGCACUCGAACGGAAGCAGACGAACAUGGAGCAGCUCCGCCGACAACACCAAUACCACCGCCCCACCAACGAGACAAAGGUCCCGCUAAACAUGUUCGUGCAACAUAUGUACUACGACCGCCUGGAGGCCAAGAAGAAGACGGAGAAACGCCUUUACGACACGUACCUGGCACCGACAGAAAUUCACACCGGCACCAUUUCUCGCGAGAAAGCCGACGAGGCAUCGAAUCGCCUGUGCACCACGAAGGCGGGGGCGUAGUUGUCGCGCGGCAAGUCGGUGCUCGUGUAGCCUUUUAUUUUUUUCUUUUCGUCGUAUGUACACUAUGUACGAAGUGUCUUCUCCGUACCCUCUCCCCAACGCUGCAGCUCGUAUCCUCCAUUCUGAUCGUGUGCGCUUGUGAGUGAUACCCGUUUGUGGCUGUCCAGCGAGC